CCUGCAGAGCAGGGGUUUAAUCACCGCAAAAAUGGCCAAAUGUCACCCAAGAAUGUGACAGACAAAUUAGUGACAUUAGUUUUCCUGUCCACUAGUUAGAGCAGGGGUAUUGGAGAGCGCCUGACUGUAUAGGGAGGGUGCUUAGGGACUGAUGGUCCCCCCCCCCUUUGCCCCGUCUCAGUAAUGGUUAAGUAGGUGGCAGAUUCGGGUCAUUGAGGGUUAAUCCCUGGGGAUCCUCCUUAGACAGGAUGGGGCGGUGCAGGAAUCCUGAAGGUCACAUAGACCUCCUCUCUGUCCUGGUCACUUCCUCUUGCCAGUGGAAGCAGAUUGGUAUGUACAUACCCCUUUGCUCUGUCCACACCAGGAGUCCACAGGUGGUUCUGCCCUUCGGGCUGCUCCCUGGUGAGUUACAUGAGGAGGGGAGGGUUAGCGCUACCCGGCCAUCCUCCUCCCCUGUGCCUGCUUCUGGGGCUUUGUGGAGCUGCUGCUGCUGCGGUAUGCAUGCGGCUCCAGCGCUUCAGCGAAGGUCCGGCGGUCUGCUCGCCGUUCCUCCUAAUCCCCCGCCCCCCCGACUCUUAUUAUCCCCCAGCUUCCCGCGUGUGUGCGCUGUGCGGCCCGUUUCUUUCGACCCAUCCUGUGAUGUCUGUGGCGCUGCGCUGUGUCUCCGCCCCCCCCUUCCCAGCUUCUGUUCCCUGGCGUUAGGGCUAAGCAUGACGGGUGGGAUUGUUUGUCUCCCCGGUAAUGUAGGGCAGUAUGGGGUCCUCACCUCACCAUGGCGCAAGCUGGGUUGUUUCGCCUAGCCCCGCCCCCUUCCCCUGCAGCGUUUACCGGGUCCCGUACUGGGCACCGCUGGGCAGGUUGCCUGGAGGCAUGGCCGUAAUGGAUUCCGCAUGCGCCAGUCCCGUCGCCGUUCCUGGGUUUCCGGGAGGAAUGGGCGCUCCAGAUCCUCAGGUGGCGCUUAGGACGGAUGUCAGGCGCAUCGGAGGAGUCUGGUUAUACAAUCCCCGCACGAGGCUGGUGCCUGACCGUCACUCCAGGGAUCGGCCUGGUCGCUGCAGCCCGUACCCGCUCCUUUGGAGGUUCCGUCCCUCUCCGUGACUGAAGCGGUUCGAUGGCUGGCUUUCGUGUAUCUUCUGUGCGGUGCGGAGAGUGGAACAGUGGCUGGUUGACGCUCUUUGGUUUUUCGAGAGGUGGAAGUCUUUUGGACAGGGAUCCUGGAUUUCAGGUGGUCAUAACUCCUUCCGGAGGUGGUUGGUAUAGAGUUCCGCCGGAGGCGCGGUGAUGCUGGUGACCCGCGCUGUGGUAAUGCCCCGUUGUCUAUUCCAGAGCUCUGGACCUCAUGUUUCCUGACAUAUUAUUAUCCCUUUCUUUUUCAGGAAGUUGGUAGUAGGGUAGUUGGUGGUUAUCUCCCGGGUGGGUUGUUCUGGGCCAUAUAUGGAAGGAGUUAUGAAUAUAAUACACAGGUAGAGAUUAAAGGGCGGUAGUUCGGCACUUAACAAGAAGAUGCAGCUAUAUAGUGUAGUGGUUACAGUCCUCAGGAUAAACGACCCCUCUCUAGUAGCUAUAGCCUGUAAUAUUAUUACACUCCAGAAACACAUCCAGGCCCCUCCUGAACUCCUUUAUUGUACUCAC